rnacentral:sRNA from 1 species
AUAUAUUCAUGCAUCAGAGCACUCCUGCACUGUUUGUGCUCUACCGGAGAUUUUCAUGCGGACAAGGCAAAAUCUCAGCAAGUUCGGACCUCUAGUACAAUAAGGCGAACCUCCUCUUUGGAUACAAUAACAGGACCUUACCUCACGGGACAGUGGCCACGGGAUCCUCAUGUUCACUACCCUUCAUGCAUGAAAGACAAAGCUACUCAGACACCUAGCUGUUGGGCAGAAGAGGGUGCAGAAAAGAGGUCACAUCAGCGUUCUGCGUCAUGGGGGAGUGCUGAUCAACUAAAAGAGAUCGCCAAACUGAGGCAGCAACUACAACGCAGUAAACAGAGUAGUCGUCACAGUAAGGAGAAAGAUCGCCAGUCACCUCUUCAUGGCAACCAUAUAACAAUCAGUCACACUCAGGCUACUGGAUCAAGGUCAGUUCCUAUGCCACUGUCAAAUAUAUCAGUGCCAAAAUCAUCUGUUUCACGUGUGCCCUGCAAUGUAGAAGGAAUAAGUCCUGAAUUAGAAAAGGUAUUCAUUAAAGAAAAUAAUGGGAA